UUCCGGUUGAUCCUGCCGGACCUGACUGCUAUCGGAUUGAUACUAAGCCAUGCGAGUCAUUGUAGUAAUACAAGGCAGACGGCUCAGUAACGCGUAGUCAACCUAACCUAUGGACGGGAAUAACCUCGGGAAACUGAGUAUAAUGCCCGAUAGAACAUUAUGCCUGGAAUGGUUUAUGUUUCAAAUGAUUUAUCGCCGUAGGAUGGGACUGCGGCCUAUCAGUUUGUUGGUGAGGUAAUGGCCCACCAAGACUAUUACAGGUACGGGCUCUGAGAGGAGUAGCCCGGAGAUGGGUACUGAGACACGGACCCAGGCCCUAUGGGGCGCAGCAGGCGAGAAAACUUUGCAAUGUGCGAAAGCACGACAAGGUUAAUCCGAGUGGUUUCUGCUAAAGAAACCUUUUGUUAGUCCUAGAAACACUAACGAAUAAGGGGUGGGCAAGUUCUGGUGUCAGCCGCCGCGGUAAAACCAGCACCUCAAGUGGUCAGGAUGAUUAUUGGGCCUAAAGCAUCCGUAGCCGGCUCAGUAAGUUUUCGGUUAAAUCUGUACGCUCAACGUACAGGCUGCCGGGAAUACUGCAGAGCUAGGGAGUGGGAGAGGUAGACGGUACUCGGGAGGAAGUGGUAAAAUGCUUUGAUCUUUCGAUGACCACCUGUGGCGAAGGCGGUCUACCAGAACACGUCCGACGGUGAGGGAUGAAAGCUGGGGGAGCAAACCGGAUUAGAUACCCGGGUAGUCC
rnacentral:rRNA from 1 species